UUGCCGGCAUAAUCUUGAAAAGUGUCAAACUCAACUGAAUUGAAAUUAACGGAAAUUGAUGAUACACGAAAAGUGAGAAUAGUCUAAAAACUAAAAA